UGGGGUAUCUCCGUCGGUAGAGCAUGAGACUCUUAAUCUCAGGGUUGUGGGUUCGAGUCCCACACUGGGCAAAA